rnacentral:rRNA from 1 species
AGAGUUUGAUCCUGGCUCAGGACGAACGCUGGCGGCGCGCCUAACACAUGCAAGUCGAACGAGAGAGAGGGAGCUUGCUUCCUUGAUCGAGUGGCGAACGGGUGAGUAACGCGUGAGGAACCUGCCUCAAAGAGGGGGACAACAGUUGGAAACGACUGCUAAUACCGCAUAAGCCCACGACCCGGCAUCGGGAAGAGGGAAAAGGAGCAAUCCGCUUUGAGAUGGCCUCGCGUCCGAUUAGCUAGUUGGUGAGGUAACGGCCACCAAGGCGACGAUCGGUAGCCGGACUGAGAGGUUGAACGGCCACAUUGGGACUGAGACACGGCCCAGACUCCUACGGAGCA